GACGAACGCUGGCGGCGUGCUUAACACAUGCAAGUCGAGCGGUAAGGCCCUUUCGGGGGUACACGAGCGGCGAACGGGUGAGUAACACGUGGGUGACCUGCCCUCAGCUCUGGGAUAAGCCUGGGAAACCGGGUCUAAUACCGGAUAUGACUCCAUGACGCAUGUUGUGGGGUGGAAAGCCUUGUGCGGCUGAGGAUGGGCCCGCGGCCUAUCAGCUUGUUGGUGGGGUGAGGCCUACCAAGGCGACGACGGGUAGCCGGCCUGAGAGGGCGACCGGCCACACUGGGACUGAGACACGGCCCAGACUCCUACGGGAGGCAGCAGUGGGGAAUCUUGCGCAAUGGGCGAAAGCCUGACGCAGCGACGCCGCGUGAGGGAUG
rnacentral:rRNA from 1 species